ensembl:misc_RNA Metazoa_SRP Metazoan signal recognition particle RNA
GCUGGGUGCGGUGGCGAGUGCCUGUAGUUCCAGCUACUUGGGAGGCUGAAGUGGGAGGAUUGCUUGAGCCCAGGAGUCCUGGGCUGUAGUCUGCUAUGCCUAUCGGGUGUCUGCACUAUGCUGGGCAUCAAUAUGGUGACCGCCCGGGAGCGGGGGACCACCAAGUUGUCUAAGAAGGGGUGAACUGGCCCAGGUCAGAAACAGAGCAGGUCAAAACUCCUGUGCUGAUCAGUAGUGGGAUCUCGCCUGUGAAUAGCCACUGCACUCCAGCCUGGGCAACAUAGCGAGACCCCGUCUCUU